rnacentral:rRNA from 1 species
GUGCCAGCAGCCGCGGUAAUACGUAGGGUGCAAGCGUUGUCCGGAAUUAUUGGGCGUAAAGAGCGUGUAGGCGGCUCGAUCAGUCCGCUGUAAAAGUCCAGGGCUCAACCCUGGGAUGCCGGUGGAUACUGUCGGGCUAGAGUCCGGAAGAGGCGAGUGGAAUUCCUGGUGUAGCGGUGAAAUGCGCAGAUAUCAGGAGGAACACCAAUGGCGAAGGCAGCUCGCUGGGACGGUACUGACGCUGAGACGCGAAAGCGUGGGGAGCAAACAGGAUUAGAUACCCUUGUAGUCC